rnacentral:rRNA from 1 species
AGUGAACGCUGGCGGUAGGCCUAACACAUGCAAGUCGAACGGCAGCACAGUAAGAGCUUGCUCUUACGGGUGGCGAGUGGCGGACGGGUGAGGAAUACAUCGGAAUCUACUUUUUCGUGGGGGAUAACGUAGGGAAACUUACGCUAAUACCGCAUACGACCUACGGGCGAAAGCAGGGGAUCUUCGGACCUUGCGCGAUUGAAUGAGCCGAUGUCGGAUUAGCUAGUUGGCGAGGUAAAGGCCCACCAAGGCGACGAUCCGUAGCUGGUCUGAGAGGAUGAUCAGCCACACUGGAACUGAGACACGGUCCAGACUCCUACGGGAGGCAGCAGUGGGGAAUAUUGGACAAUGGGCGCAAGCCUGAUCCAGCCAUACCGCGUGGGUGAAGAAGGCCUUCGGGUUGUAAAGCCCUUUUGUUGGGAAAGAAAAGCAGCAGGUUAAUACCCCGCUGUUCUGACGGUACCCAAAGAAUAAGCACCGGCUAACUUCGUG